AUUGAACGCUGGCGGCAUGCCUUACACAUGCAAGUCGAACGGCAGCACGGGUGCUUGCACCUGGUGGCGAGUGGCGAGCGGGUGAGUAAUAUAUCGGAACGUACCUUAUCGUGGGGGAUAACGCAGCGAAAGCUGUGCUAAUACCCCAUAAGCCCUAAGGGGGAAAGCAGGGGACCGUAAGGCCUUGCUCGAUUCGAGCGGCCGAUACCUGAUUAGCUAGUUGGUGAGGUAAAGGCUCACCAAGGCAACGAUCAGUAGCUGGUCUGAGAGGACGAUCAGCCACACUGGGACUGAGACACGGCCCAGACUCCUACGGGAGGCAGCAGUGGGGAAUUUUGGACAAUGGGGGCAACCCUGAUCCAGCAAUGCCGCGUGAGUGAAGAAGGCCUUCGGGUUGUAAAGCUCUUUUGUCAGGGAAGAAACAGCAGCUCUAAUACAGUAUGCGAAUGACGGUACCUGAAGAAUAAGCACCGGCUAACUACGUGCCAGCAGCCGCGGUAA
rnacentral:rRNA from 1 species